rnacentral:rRNA from 1 species
UACGGGGGGAGCAAGCGUUGUUCGGAUUUACUGGGCGUAAAGGGCGCGUAGGCGGCCACCGCAAGUCGACUGUGAAAUCUCCGGGCUUAACCCGGAAAGGUCAGCCGAUACUGCGGGGCUAGAGUGCAGAAGGGGCAACUGGAAUUCUCGGUGUAGCGGUGAAAUGCGUAGAUAUCGAGAGGAACACCUGCGGCGAAGGCGGGUUGCUGGGCUGACACUGACGCUGAGGCGCGAAAGCGUGGGGAGCAAACCGG